CCUACGGGAGGCAGCAGUGGGGAAUAUUGCGCAAUGGGCGAAAGCCUGACGCAGCGACGCCGCGUGGGGGAUGAAGGUCUUCGGAUCGUAAACCUCUGUCAGCAGGGAAGCACGGUCACUGUGCUAAUCAGCAGUGAAUUGACGGUACCUGCAAAGGAAGCACCGGCUAACUCCGUGCCAGCAGCCGCGGUAAUACGGAGGGUGCGAGCGUUAAUCGGAAUUACUGGGCGUAAAGCGCUCGUAGGCGGUAUGUCAAGUCAAGGGUGAAAUCCCCGCGCUCAACGUGGGAACUGCCUUUGAAACUGGCAAACUGGAGUGAGUGAGAGGAGAGUGGAAUUCCAGGUGUAGGAGUGAAAGCCGUAGAUAUCUGGAGGAACAUCAGUGGCGAAGGCGACUAUCUGGCACAUAACUGACGCUGAGGAGCGAAAGCGUGGGUAGCAAACAGGAUUAGAUACCCCUGUAGUC
rnacentral:rRNA from 1 species